GGCGUAAGCGCGCGUAGGCGGCUAAUUAAGUCAAAUGUGAAAUCCCCGAGCUUAACUUGGGAAUUGCAUUCGAUACUGGUUAGCUAGAGUGUGGGAGAGGAUGGUAGAAUUCCAGGUGUAGCGGUGAAAUGCGUAGAGAUCUGGAGGAAUACCGAUGGCGAAGGCAGCCAUCUGGCCUAACACUGACGCUGAGGUGCGAAAGCAUGGGGAGCAAACAGGAUUAGAUACCCUGGUAGUCCAUGCCGUAAACGAUGUCUACUAGCCGUUGGGGCCUUUGAGGCUUUAGUGGCGCAGCUAACGCGAUAAGUAGACCGCCUGGGGAGUACGGUCGCAAGACUAAAACUCAAAUGAAUUGACGGGGGCCCGCACAAGCGGUGGAGCAUGUGGUUUAAUUCGAUGCAACGCGAAGAACCUUACCUGGCCUUGACAUAGUAAGAACUUUCCAGAGAUGGAUUGGUGCCUUCGGGAACUUACAUACAGGUGCUGCAUGGCUGUCGUCAGCUCGUGUCGUGAGAUGUUGGGUUAAGUCCCGCAACGAGCGCAACCCUUUUCCUUAUUUGCCAGCGAGUAAUGUCGGGAACUUUAAGGAUACUGCCAGUGACAAACUGGAGGAAGGCGGGGACGACGUCAAGUCAUCAUGGCCCUUACGGCCAGGGCUACACACGUGCUA
rnacentral:rRNA from 1 species